rnacentral:rRNA from 1 species
AGAGUUUGAUCCUGGCUCAGGAUGAACGCUAGCGACAGGCUUAACACAUGCAAGUCGAGGGGCAGCACAGGUAGCAAUACCGGGUGGCGACCGGCGCACGGGUGAGUAACGCGUAUGCAACUUGCCUAUCAGAGGGGGAUAACCCGGCGAAAGUCGGACUAAUACCGCAUGAAGCAGGGGCCCCGCAUGGGGAUAUUUGCUAAAGAUUCAUCGCUGAUAGAUAGGCAUGCGUUCCAUUAGGCAGUUGGCGGGGUAACGGCCCACCAAACCGACGAUGGAUAGGGGUUCUGAGAGGAAGGUCCCCCACAUUGGUACUGAGACACGGACCAAACUCCUACGGGAGGCAGCAGUGAGGAAUAUUGGUCAAUGGCCGAGAGGCUGAACCAGCCAAGUCGCGUGAGGGAUGAAGGUUCUAUGGAUCGUAAACCUCUUUUAUAAGGGAAUAAAGUGCGGGACGUGUCCCGUUUUGUAUGUACCUUAUGAAUAAGGAUCGGCUAACUCCGUGCCAGCAGCCGCGGU